rnacentral:rRNA from 1 species
CGGACGGGUGAGUAACGCGUGGAUAACCUGCCUUUCACAGGGGGAUAACAGCUGGAAACGGCUGCUAAUACCGCAUGAGCCUCUUUUGUCGCAUGAGAAGAGAGGGAAAGAGAAAUCGGUGAGAGAUGGAUCCGCGUCCGAUUAGCUAGUUGGAGGGGUAACAGCCCACCAAGGCGACGAUCGGUAGCCGACCUGAGAGGGUGGACGGCCACAUUGGGACUGAGACACGGCCCAAACUCCUACGGAAGGCAGCAG